AAUCAACGCUGGCGGCGCGCUUAACACAUGCAAGUCGAACGAGAAAGCCCGGCAACGGGUGAGUAAAGUGGCGUACGGGUGAGUAACACGUGGAUAAUCUACCUCUUAGUGGGGAAUAACUUUGGGAAACCGAAGCUAAUACCGCAUAAGCCUGGAAAGGGAAAGCCGCAUCUUAAUAAAUGUGGCGCUGAGAGAGGAGUCCGCGGCCGAUUAGCUAGUUGGCAGGGUAAAAGCCUACCAAGGCAUUGAUCGGUAGCCGGCCUGAGAGGGCACACGGCCACACUGGCACUGAAACACGGGCCAGACUCCUACGGGAGGCAGCAGUGGGGAAUCUUGCACAAUGGGGGCAACCCUGAUGCAGCGACGCCGCGUGAGCGAUGAAGCCCUUCGGGGUGUAAAGCUCUUUCGGCAGGAACGAUAAUGACGGUACCUGAAGAAGAAGCUGCGGCUAACUACGUGCC
rnacentral:rRNA from 1 species